AACGCACCUUGCACCCUAUGGUAUUCCGUAGGGUAUGCCCGUUUGAGUGUUAUUAAAUCAUCAAACUCAUCAUGUUUUUGUUAAUGUGCAUGAGGCUUGGUUUUGAGGGUUUUUGCCGGCUUUCAUUAGUCGGCUCCCUUUAAAUACAUUAGCGAGACUUUCCCUUUGCAUGACCGUGUCUCUGGCGUGAUAAUUAUCUGCGUCAAAGUCUGCGGACUCGUUGGGCUUGCUUCUAACCGUCUACUUUGCUAGACAACCAAAAUCGGCCGCAUAUAUGCGCCUUUUUUGAACUCUUUUAACCUCAAAUCGGGUAGGAUUACCCGCUGAACUUAA
rnacentral:misc_RNA from 1 species